rnacentral:rRNA from 1 species
UUGCCAGACUCCUACGGGAGGCAGCAGUGGGGGAUAUUGCACAAUGGGGGAAACCCUUAUGCAGCGACGCCGCGUGUAGGAAGACGGUCCUCUGGAUUGUAAACCACUGUCCCCAGGGACGAAGAUGACGGUACCUGGGGAGGAAGCUCCGGCUAACUACGUGCCAGCAGCCGCGGUAAUACGUAGGGAGCGAGCGUUGUCCGGAUUUACUGGGUGUAAAGGGUGCGUAGGCGGCUUGGCAAGUCAGUAGUGAAAUCCAUGGGCUUAACCCAUGAACUGCUAUUGAAACUGUCGAGCUUGAGUGAAGUAGAGGUAGGCGGAAUUCCCGGUGUAGCGGUGAAAUGCGUAGAGAUCGGGAGGAACACCAGUGGCGAAGGCGGCCUACUGGGCUUUAACUGACGCUGAGGCACGAAAGCGUGGGUAGCAAACAGGAUUAGAUACCCCCGUAGGG